rnacentral:lncRNA from 1 species
UAGAAGAAAGGCGGCUGUGUCUUCACAGUACCCUUGUUCUUAAAGGAGUGCUCAAUGAGACUGUCUCCGAUCAUCUUCUUCGACAUCCUCUUCUCCUUCUCCUUCUAGAUCUCCACCUGAUGUCUCCCCGAAAGACAUCCACCAGGCGAUCCAUGGCCUCCACGGCCAGAUCUCAGCGAGCUCCGCAAGAUCCGACCUCGUCUCCAGUUUUUCAGGCUCCUCCUCCUCUUCCGACAACGACAGUCGACAUGGAGCAGUUCGACCUGCUGGUUCAGCAGGUCAGAGGCCUCACUGAAGCAGUGCAGGCCAUGCAAUAGCAGCAGCAACAGCCGCAGGCGUCAGUGC